rnacentral:rRNA from 1 species
GAACGCUGGCGGCGUGCUUAAUACAUGCAAGUCGAGCGGACCGACGGGAGCUUGCUCCCUUAGGUCAGCGGCGGACGGGUGAGUAACACGUGGGUAACCUGCCUGUAAGACUGGGAUAACUCCGGGAAACCGGGGCUAAUACCGGAUGCUUGAUUGAACCGCAUGGUUCAAUCAUAAAAGGUGGCUUUUAGCUACCACUUACAGAUGGACCCGCGGCGCAUUAGCUAGUUGGUGAGGUAACGGCUCACCAAGGCGACGAUGCGUAGCCGACCUGAGAGGGUGAUCGGCCACACUGGGACUGAGACACGGCCCAGACUCCUACGGGAGGCAGCAGUAGGGAAUCUUCCGCAAUGGACGAAAGUCUGACGGAGCAACGCCGCGUGAGUGAUGAAGGUUUUCGGAUCGUAAAACUCUGUUGUUAGGGAAGAACAAGUACCGUUCGAAUAGGGCGGUACCUUGACGGUACCUAACCAGAAAGCCACGGCUAACUACGUGCCAGCAGCCGCGGUAAUACGUAGGUGGCAAGCGUUGUCCGGAAUUAUUGGGCGUAAAGCGCGCGCAGGCGGUUUCUUAAGUCUGAUGUGAAAGCCCCCGGCUCAACCGGGGAGGGUCAUUGGAAACUGGGGAACUUGAGUGCAGAAGAGGAGAGUGGAAUUCCACGUGUAGCGGUGAAAUGCGUAGAGAUGUGGAGGAACACCAGUGGCGAAGGCGACUCUCUGGUCUGUAACUGACGCUGAGGCGCGAAAGCGUGGGGAGCGAACAGGAUUAGAUACCCUGGUAGUCCACGCCGUAAACGAUGAGUGCUAAGUGUUAGAGGGUUUCCGCCCUUUAGUGCUGCAGCAAACGCAUUAAGCACUCCGCCUGGGGAGUACGGUCGCAAGACUGAAACUCAAAGGAAUUGACGGGGGCCCGCACAAGCGGUGGAGCAUGUGGUUUAAUUCGAAGCAACGCGAAGAACCUUACCAGGUCUUGACAUCCUCUGACAACCCUAGAGAUAGGGCUUCCCCUUCGGGGGCAGAGUGACAGGUGGUGCAUGGUUGUCGUCAGCUCGUGUCGUGAGAUGUUGGGUUAAGUCCCGCAACGAGCGCAACCCUUGAUCUUAGUUGCCAGCAUUCAGUUGGGCACUCUAAGGUGACUGCCGGUGACAAACCGGAGGAAGGUGGGGAUGACGUCAAAUCAUCAUGCCCCUUAUGACCUGGGCUACACACGUGCUACAAUGGGCAGAACAAAGGGCAGCGAAGCCGCGAGGCUAAGCCAAUCCCACAAAUCUGUUCUCAGUUCGGAUCGCAGUCUGCAACUCGACUGCGUGAAGCUGGAAUCGCUAGUAAUCGCGGAUCAGCAUGCCGCGGUGAAAUACGUUCCCGGGCCUUGUACACACCGCCCGUCACACCACGAGAGUUUGUAACACCCGAAGUCGGUGAGGUAACCUUUUGGAGCCAGCC